rnacentral:lncRNA from 1 species
GGUGGGUGGGGUUGUCCAAACAGUGAAGAGUAACUCCAGCACUCUUUGGUUAUAGGAGACAGAGUCAACUAAUGAGAGCCACGGCAAUGUUUGACUGGUAAAGAUCACGUUUGUAGUAGAGGUGGGCAAAAGGAGAAAGGGACCAUCUGCCUCCUGUGUUUCACCUUGCCCCAGACUCUCCCCACUGCCCAGACAUCCUGCAGCAGUUUGCAAGCAUGGCUUGCAAGGACUAGACAGCUUGCAGUGCCCAGGCCAAUCAAUGCCAGUGCUUGCCUUUACUCCAGAAAAGAUUUGUGAAGAACAACCAGGCUGCUUUCCCCACAUCCUUCAGUGCAGGUGCUGCCAGAGACAAAUGCCAUGACGGACCCUUGGGAAGGAAAGCGCAAUGCUGCUGUCAAACCAACACACACAAGGCCAGGAAGCGAAGGAAGGAGAGAAAGGCUCCGUGCAUGCUGCUGAUGACCCAGCCUCCAAACAGCCUCACCACAGCAGCACAGUGGGGACCAGCUGUACAAAACAUCAGGUCCAAGAAAAAAACCAAACCAAGUGACCUUACGUGGAACUCUUCUGAACGCUUCAGCACCCCUGCUACAGCAUGCACAUCUACCUUCACAGUAAAGCUGAAGUUUUUUAAUACUUUAUCUGCUUGACUUUUCAUCCCCCCCCGACCCCUUCUAAAGCUUCUGGUCUUCUCUUCCACCAUUUGUGCAUACCAUUUGUAGCUACGAAGGUUUAACUGAUACAGUCUUAAGUCACAGUAUAUUUACUGGUUUAUUUUUCUCUCUGGUGCAAUGGCCUCGUGUCAUUUUUGGUUUGUUUGGUUUUAAGUUUAUUUUUAUAUAAAACAUCUUUACUUACACAACCAAAUGUCACCAGGAAACAGAGGAAGGACUAAGGAGGCUCCUGAUGUGCUCUGCAGAAUUACACUUCAACUGCUUUCAGCCUUCGAGGAUACGGAUUUCAGUUCAGCUACG